AGAAUCAACGCUGGCGGCGUGCCUAACACAUGCAAGUCGAACGAGAAAGUGGGAGCAAUCCCACGAGUAAAGUGGCGCACGGGUGAGUAACACGUGACUAACCUACCCUUGAGUGGGGGAUAACCUAGGGAAACCUGGGCUAAUACCGCAUAAUACCUACGGGUCAAAGGAGCAAUUCGCUUUAGGAGGGGGUCGCGGCAGAUUAGUUAGUUGGCGGGGUAAUGGCCCACCAAGACAGUGAUCUGUAUCCGGCCUGAGAGGGCGCACGGACACACUGGAACUGAAACACGGUCCAGACUCCUACGGGAGGCAGCAGUGGGAAUUUGCGCAAUGGGGGAAACCCUGACGCAGCAACGCCGCGUGGAGGAUGAAGCCCCUUGGGGCGUAAACUCCUUUCGAUCGGGAAGAUAAUGACGGUACCGGAAGAAGAAGCCCGGCUAACUUCGCGCCAGCAGCCGC
rnacentral:rRNA from 1 species